GACAGCUAUCCCAGCAACUGAACACUUCCAACACUUGUUUUAGAAAGAAAGAGGGAAACAUGUUGUCAAACCUGCGAAAAUUGUUGUUGAAGAGGCAUUUCAAGGUGGGACCAUGGGAAGAAAGAAGCAGCAAGGAAAAGAAAGAUUCUACACCUUAUCCAAAGAUUUGCCAACUGGCAAUCCUUGGCAAGAAGACUAACACCUACCCAGGAGAAGAAAACAGCACCCUGUGUCUUCCUAUCUGCAUUGGGAAGAAUGCUAUCUUAGUAUUGGAUGGGUCUGUCUCUCCAGAGAGCAAAUAUCGCAAAUAAUUGGGUAGGUGUUAGGUUGUAGUUGAGAGCAAUACAUGGAACUACUGAAGAAAUGACUUAGAGGGAGAGAAAGAUCUCUCUUCAUGUUAUACAGUCUUUGAGAAGGAAAUGCAUUGCCUUUGUAGCCAAACCUACAUGAUAAUUCAGUUGGGAGGUAAGCAACAGACUCAAAGACACCUUAAAUUUUAUUAAUGUUAAGAUCCUUCAGAGGAUUACAGCCUAAAACAGGAGUCCCAAAUCAUUACAGUAUUGAAGAACAAUGGAAGCCUGGAUGAAGAGCAAGAAUGGAACGGAACAGCUGGACUUCUAAAUGUCUUAUGACAACGCAUUGUGAAAGAUCUAUGUAUCACCUUUGAAUGCAAAUUUUGGAGACAAAUGUCUACAUGUUUAUGCAAAAAAAUGUAAAUAUUAACUGCUGCUAAUCUCAGAGACAGAGUGUACUUUUGGAAAUGAAAUAAGGAAUCCCACAAAUUAGGUAACCAUUUUCACUUGUUGGGAAAUUCUUUACGAAUGUACAACUUUGCAAAUUAAAUGAGAAAAAAAAGUUUAAAAAGAAACAGGCCAGCUCAAACUGAGUAAGUUAUAUAUCCAAAGAUGAGAGGCAGUGCUGAAUAUUAGUAAGAAAAUAAAGGGAAUUAAAAUUAUUAAAAGAGUAGGGAUAGCCAGUUUAACUUGCAUUUAACAUUACUUAAAUUUUGCACGUUCAGAUCAAGUCACAACAAAAACUCAAUUAUUGUUUGACAUAAGCAUUUUUUAAAAAAUCUUCCAUUUCUCCAAUUAAAUACGCACAAACAUGUCAAGGGUGUAUACAAUUGCUUAUGCUAGUGAAAAUAAUAUAUAAAAUACAUAUUGUUUGUGAAAUACGUACUGCAAAAAUGUAUAUGACAAAAUUAUAAACAAUAUGGUUAUGUAGUUAUAUUAAAGAGGAAUCUGUAUGA